rnacentral:rRNA from 2 species
UGGGGAAUAUUGCGCAAUGGGGGAAACCCUGACGCAGCAACGCCGCGUGAGUGAUGAAGGUUUUCGGAUCGUAAAACUCUGUCUUUGGGGAAGAUAAUGACGGUACCCAAGGAGGAAGCCCCGGCUAACUACGUGCCAGCAGCCGCGGUAAUACGUAGGGGGCAAGCGUUGUCCGGAUUUACUGGGCGUACAGAGCAUGUAGGCUGUUGUUUUAGUCAGAUGUGAAAGUUUUCGGCUCAACCGGAAAAGUGCAUUUGAAACUGGACAACUUGAGAAUCGGAGAGGUAAGCGGAAUUCCUAGUGUAGCGGUGAAAUGCGUAGAUAUUAGGAAGAACACCGGUGGCGAAGGCGGCUUACUGGACGAUUUCUGACGCUGAGAUGCGAAAGCGUGGGGAGCGAACAGG